UACGGAGGGGGCUAGCGUUGUUCGGAAUUACUGGGCGUAAAGGGCUCGUAGGCGGCCAACUAAGUCAGACGUGAAAUCCCUCGGCUUAACCGGGGAACUGCGUCUGAUACUGGAUGGCUUGAGUUUGGGAGAGGGAUGCGGAAUUCCAGGUGUAGCGGUGAAAUGCGUAGAUAUCUGGAGGAACACCGGUGGCGAAGGCGGCAUCCUGGACCAACACUGACGCUGAGUGAGCGAAAGCCAGGGGAGCAAACGGGG
rnacentral:rRNA from 1 species